rnacentral:rRNA from 1 species
UACAGAGGGUGCAAGCGUUGUUCGGAAUUAUUGGGCGUAAAGGGCGCGUAGGCGGUGCGGUAAGUCACCUGUGAAACCUCUGGGGCUUAACUCAGAGCCUGCAGGCGAAACUGCCGUGCUUGAGUGUGGGAGAGGUGCGUGGAAUUCCCGGUGUAGCGGUGAAAUGCGUAGAUAUCGGGGAGGAACACCUGUGGCGAAAGCGGCGCACUGGACCACAACUGACGCUGAGGCGCGAAAGCUAGGGGAGCAAACAGG